rnacentral:rRNA from 1 species
GACGAACGCUGGCGGCGUGCUUAACACAUGCAAGUCGAACGGAAAGGCCCUGCUUUUGUGGGGUGCUCGAGUGGCGAACGGGUGAGUAACACGUGAGUAACCUGCCCUUGACUUUGGGAUAACUUCAGGAAACUGGGGCUAAUACCGGAUAGGAGCUCCUGCUGCAUGGUGGGGGUUGGAAAGUUUCGGCGGUUGGGGAUGGACUCGCGGCUUAUCAGCUUGUUGGUGGGGUAGUGGCUUACCAAGGCUUUGACGGGUAGCCGGCCUGAGGGGGUGACCGGCUACAUUGGGACUGAGAUACGGCCCAGACUCCUACGGGAGGCAGCAGUGGGGAAUAUUGCACAAUGGGCGGAAGCCUGAUGCAGCAACGCCGCGUGCGGGAUGAAGGCCUUCGGGUUGUAAACCGCUUUCGCCUGUGACGAAGCGUGAGUGACGGUAAUGGGUAAAGAAGCACCGGCUAACUACGUG